rnacentral:rRNA from 1 species
UACACUCCUGCGGGAGGCAGCAGUGGGGAAUUUUGGACAAUGGGCGAAAGCCUGAUCCAGCAAUGCCGCGUGGGUGAAGAAGGCCUUCGGGUUGUAAAGCUCUUUUGUCAGGGAAGAAACGGUGAAAGCUAAUAUCUUUUGCUAAUGACGGUACCUGAAGAAUAAGCACCGGCUAACUACGUGCCAGCAGCCGCGGUAAUACGUAGGGUGCAAGCGUUAAUCGGAAUUACUGGGCGUAAAGCGUGCGCAGGCGGUUUUGUAAGUCUGAUGUGAAAUCCCCGGGCUCAACCUGGGAAUUGCAUUGGAGACUGCAAGGCUAGAAUCUGGCAGAGGGGGGUAGAAUUCCACGUGUAGCAGUGAAAUGCGUAGAUAUGUGGAGGAACACCGAUGGCGAAGGCAGCCCCCUGGGUCAAGAUUGACGCUCAUGCACGAAAGCGUGGGGAGCAAACAGGAUUAGAUACCCCUGUAGUCCCAUG